UUUUUUUACACAAACAACAUAAUAGCCAUUAACAUGACACCUCGAUGACAACAAAAUCAAACACAGCAAACAUGAAUGAAUUGCAAACGAACAUUCACACAUCAUUUAAAAAAAAAUUACUCGGAACAUUUUCAUUCAUACUUUUUCAUGACAAAUUUAUAAUAUAAAUAAUACAUGAUUGUAUAAGAACUUGUGAUGAAUUAAAUCGAGUGAUGAAGCAAGGAACCGCCACCGAAAACUCAAACGAAACCCAAAACUCGAUUCAAAAACUAUUUCUUUUCUUUGUUUUCUUCCCCAUUUUUUUGCCUUUUAUGUACGUACUUUUUUUUUUCCUUCUUGUUUUUCUUCUUUUUUCCCCUUUUGAUUUCAAUCUUUUUUUUUUUGUUUCUUUCUCGUUUUUCUUCUUUUUUCCCCUUCUGAUUUCAAUCUUUUUUUUUUGUUUCUCUUCUCCCUUCUUGAUCCGUAUGUCAUCUCCCCCCCUUAUGUGUGUGCUUUUUGUGUUAUAUAAGGAGUAGCAGAUUGUGAGGGAGUGGGAUUGAGGUGUGGGAGAGACGUGGGUUAUGGGGAUAUUGGGUAGUUUUAGGUUUCUUUUUUUUUAUUAUUUAAUAUUUUAAACAAAAUAAAAAAAUAAUAAAAUCUAUUUAAAACUAAAAAAAUACAAAAUAAGUUAAUUAGCUAGUCUUAGGAAUAUGACUAAGAAAUAUUAAUAUCACAUUCUUUAUUAAAGUUGAAAGAAGAAAACAAAUAUAAUUUAGAAAAAAAUUCUUUUU
rnacentral:lncRNA from 1 species